rnacentral:rRNA from 1 species
GUGGGGAAUAUUGGUCAAUGGACGAGAGUCUGAACCAGCCAAGUAGCGUGCAGGAUGACGGCCCUAUGGGUUGUAAACUGCUUUUAUAUAGGGAUAAAGUGAUCUACGUGUAGAUUUUUGUAGGUACUAUAUGAAUAAGGACCGGCUAAUUCCGUGCCAGCAGCCGCGGUAAUACGGAAGGUCCAGGCGUUAUCCGGAUUUAUUGGGUUUAAAGGGAGCGCAGGCUGAUGAUUAAGCGUGACGUGAAAUGUAGCCGCUCAACGGCUGAACUGCGUCGCGAACUGGUUAUCUUGAGUGAGUUCGAUGUUGGCGGAAUUCGUGGUGUAGCGGUGAAAUGCUUAGAUAUCACGAAGAACUCCGAUUGCGAAGGCAGCCAACAAGGCCUUUACUGACGCUAAAGCUCGAAGGUGCGGGUAUCGAACAGG